ACCUGAGUGGCUUAGUUGGUUGAGUGUCUGACUUUGGGUCAGGUCAUGAUCUCGCAGUGUGUGAGUUCGAGCCCCACAUCGGGCU
rnacentral:tRNA from 1 species